rnacentral:rRNA from 1 species
GACGUAGGGCGCGAGCGUUGUCCGGAAUCACUGGGCGUAAAGGGCGCGUAGGCGGCUUGAUAAGCGUGCGGUGAAAGCCCGGGGCUCAACCCCGGGUCGGCCGUGCGAACUGUCGAGCUGGAGCACUGUAGAGGCAGGUCGAAUUCCGGGUGUAGCGGUGGAAUGCGUAGAGAUCCGGAAGAACACCGGUGGCGAAGGCGGCCUGCUGGGCAGUGGCUGACGCUGAGGCGCGACAGCGUGGGGAGCAAACAGG